rnacentral:rRNA from 1 species
UACGAAGGGAGCUAGCGUUGUUCGGAAUCACUGGGCGUAAAGCGCACGUAGGCGGAUGUGUCAGUCAGGGGUGAAAUCCCGGAGCUCAACUUCGGAACUGCCUUUGAUACAGCACGUCUUGAGUCCGAUAGAGGUGGGUGGAAUUCCUAGUGUAGAGGUGAAAUGCGUAGAUAUCGGGAGGAACAUCGAUGGCGAAGGCAAUCACCUGGGCCUGAACUGACACUGAGACACGAAAGCGUGGGUAGCAAACAGG